GUACUUACCUGCCGGUGGUGAUACCAUGUGCAUGAAGUUGGCUCACCCAGGGCGAGGAUCUGUCAAAGCACUUUGGUUGUGUUCAUCCUUGCAAAUUCUCCAAAUAAGGGAAUCUCAACUGCAUAAUUUCCGGUAGUGGGGGACUGUGUUCCACUCGCUGGAG
ensembl:snRNA U1 U1 spliceosomal RNA